rnacentral:rRNA from 1 species
AGUGAACGCUGGCGGCAGGCCUAAUACAUGCAAGUCGAACGGCAGCACAGCAGAGCUUGCUCUGUGGGUGGCGAGUGGCGGACAGGUGAGGAAUACAUGGGAAUCUGCCCAGUCGUGGGGAUAACGUAGGGAAACUUACGCUAAUACCGCAUGCGCCCUUCGGGGGAAAGCCGGGGACCUUCGGGCCUGGCGCGAUUGGAUGAGCCCAUGUCGGAUUAGCUAGUUGGCGGGGUAAUGGCCCACCAAGGCGACGAUCCGUAGCUGGUCUGAGAGGAUGAUCAGCCACACUGGAACUGAGACACGGUCCAGACUCCUACGGGAGCAGCAGUAGGG